rnacentral:lncRNA from 1 species
UGAUUAUCAAAUCUGAAAUUCUUCUCUUAUUUUUUUUUUUUAAUUUACAGAAAUUUCAUGUCUUGACUGUCUGAAUUUACAGCAAGCUGAACCUUGGAAGAUAACCUGUCAAUCUUUUUAUGAAGAGAAGUUUGCUUCUUCAGGGAAACAGGGACACCUAUGGCUCUUGACCUAUUUACAGGAAGAAAGGCAGACAACAAGGGUCUAGUUCAUGCCAAACCAGAGACAAAAGUCUGGUCUUGGAUUUAUUUCUGUGGAUCCAGAGGAUGCAGAUGUCAUUGGCAAUCUUUCUUCUUGUAGUCUUUAGUCUCUGAAUGAUGCCUCUGCUAAAGCUGACAUACGCCAAACUUACUGUGAUCAAUGUAACAGGGAGGCCUCUUGCAGCACACCAGGGAAGAGUGAAUUUGGUGAAAUACCUGCGUUUUGUUAACCCAAAUCUUGAUUCUACAACGAGCUUCACUAAAUUUUCUGAGACCACAAAUGCAACCCAAUGCGCUCAAAACCUGGGAUGAUCAAGCUCUCAGUGCUAUGGAAAGGUAAGUUUAUCUCGUGUAGUAUUUCCUCUUUUGUUGACUUCCUAAUAUC